ensembl:lncRNA
ACAGUUUUAUGAGGCAUUAUACUGUUUGUUUGUUUUUUAGAUAUGUCAAUGUAUUUUAUAGUGUUUUCUACAUCUAUCAUUUCUAUCUAUCGUUCCUGACCCUUUUUCAUAUUCUAAAUAUAUUUUGCAAAAUAUUGCAAAAUAAAAAAGUGGGGACCCCCAUAAGACUUGAUUCAAUUCGAGCACUGGUACGCUAACAUUAAUACUAUUAAUAUUAAUUAAUAUUAUUAAUGCUAAAAGCCAAAAAAAAAUCCAUUUUGAUUUGAUAGGGACUUUAAAGUCGACUAGUCUGGGCCCCUAGUGUGAAAUGAAAACACCGGGUUUUUAAAUUGUUUGUUUCUGUACAGAGCAUGCAAGGUCAGUUGAACACCCAUAUUUCAGCCCUUGUGAUUUCCAACUGGACGCUUGAAACUAUGGGCGGUGCUCCGAUGUAAAAUCAGUCUGCUUGCUUGGUUGGUUAAACGUCAUAUGGAAAUUAUUUUAGCGGCUAAGCCCCUCCCACCAUACUUGAGGCGCUCGUCUGCUGUGUUGAUACCGAACAAAAUGGCUGCAGAGGCUUUAUCCUGACCCGACACUCUCGGUGCUUUUCCGGACACUCCGCACUUAUUCCUGGAUAUUUUCACCGUCGUUUAAAAAAAAAAUCUCUGGAUUCUCCACACAACUGCAGCCAGGCUGCUCGCCACAUCGCUCGCUAUCUUUAUUUUUGCACUUUAAUGAAGCAGCUUGCAUCGCAUAAUCUCAUGUCAGUCUACCAGACAGUAGGAGCUUUAAACUGCCCUCUUCUUCGUUUUGCACCGUAGACGAGAUGCUAUUUCUGAUGAUCAAUUUAUGCUACUGUACUUGACAAACUGCAUCUCUGUUUUUCAUGUAUUCUAUUCUGUCUUUUCGAGGGUAUUUCGUAGCGUAUAUGUCAUGGAAAUGCCAUCUGCUGUUUUUCCAGCAUGCAAGCAUCUAAUCUCCAUCAGAACUCAAAGCUCUGAGUUUGCAUAUAAAUUUCACGUCAGUCCUUUUCUCUUUGCAUAUUGAAUUUUGUUUAUUUUCGUUCUGCUGCCUUUUUGGGACACUUUCGGAGGUUCAGCUAAUUAUAUAGUACAUUGUUAAUUACUUGGGUCUGUCUGUUUUUACGGGUACUUUUUUUCCGCAAAAAAGGCCUUAUUACCGCUGUACAAGCAACACUUUCUUCUUCUUCUUUUUUUUUUUUUAAACCGAAAGCUGCCAAAGCUCGACUUGUGAACAAAAAGCUAAGAGAAGGUGAACAUCACAAGGAGAGAACCAUUUGAUGGAAGACAAGAAAAAGCAAGAAGAGACAAACAAGGAUACUGCACAGAAACCGGUCGUGCCAGACUCUGUUAAACCCAAUCCCAGCAUCCCUUCAAACCCCAUUCUGACCCUGAACCUGCCUGUACCCUGUCCUGCCUCCACCAGCAAUGGCAAGCGUAGCCCUUGUAAUUCCCUACAACAGCAGUUACCUCCAUUACAGCAGCCCAGUCCCCGAUAUGUGCCCAGAGAGAUUCCUCCACGCUUCCGACAGCAGGAGCAGAGGCAGCUACUGAAGAGGGGUCAACCUUUACCUACAGGCGCUCUGAACCCGACCUCUGCUUGCCCUCAGUCCGGGGUCAUCUCCCCUCCCGAGACGCCCACCAGCAAACGGCACACGGGCUGCAACACAUGUCUGAUUGAGCAGAGGUUUCAUCUGGUUCUUGUGGUCUUGUGCUGAUGGCCGAC